rnacentral:rRNA from 1 species
UGGCGGAAGGAUCAUUA